UGCCAGCAGCCGCGGUAAUACGGGGGGUGCAAGCGUUGUCCGGAAUCAUUGGGCGUAAAGGGUUCGUAGGUGGAAUUGUAAGUCUGGUGUGAAAGCCCCGGGCUCAACCUGGGAACUGCAUUCCAAACUGACAGACUAGAGUACGAUAGAGGGGGGUAGAAUUCCGAGUGUAGGGGUGAAAUCCGUAGAUAUUCGGAGGAACACCAGUGGCGAAGGCGGCUUUCCGGACCGAUACUGACGCUGAGACGCGAAAGCGUGGGGAGCAAACAGGAUUAGAUA
rnacentral:rRNA from 1 species